rnacentral:rRNA from 1 species
UACAGAGGGGGCAAGCGUUGUUCGGAAUUACUGGGCGUAAAGCGCGCGUAGGUGGUUCGUUAAGUUGGAUGUGAAAUCCCCGGGCUCAACCUGGGAACUGCAUCCAAACUGGACGAGCUAGAGUAUGGUAGAGGGUGGUGGAAUUUCCUGUGUAGCGGUGAAAUGCGUAGAUAAUAGGAAGGAACACCAGUGGCGAAGGCGACCACCUGGACUGAUACUGACACUGAGGUGACGA